rnacentral:rRNA from 1 species
GAUGAACGCUGGCGGCGUGCCUAAUACAUGCAAGUCGAGCGAACAGACGAGGAGCUUGCUCCUCUGACGUUAGCGGCGGACGGGUGAGUAACACGUGGAUAACCUACCUAUAAGACUGGGAUAACUUCGGGAAACCGGAGCUAAUACCGGAUAAUAUAUUGAACCGCAUGGUUCAAUAGUGAAAGACGGUUUUGCUGUCACUUAUAGAUGGAUCCGCGCCGCAUUAGCUAGUUGGUAAGGUAACGGCUUACCAAGGCGACGAUGCGUAGCCGACCUGAGAGGGUGAUCGGCCACACUGGAACUGAGACACGGUCCAGACUCCUACGGGAGGCAGCAGUAGGGACUCUUCCGCAAUGGGCGAAAGCCUGACGGAGCAACGCCGCGUGAGUGAUGAAGGUCUUCGGAUCGUAAAACUCUGUUAUUAGGGAAGAACAAAUGUGUAAGUAACUAUGCACGUCUUGACGGUACCUAAUCAGAAAGCCACGGCUAACUACGUG